AACGAACGCUGGCGGCAUGCCUAACACAUGCAAGUCGAACGAGACCUUUGGGUCUAGUGGCGCACGGGUGCGUAACGCGUGGGAAUCUGCCCUUGGGUUCGGAAUAACAGUGAGAAAUUGCUGCUAAUACCGGAUGAUGUCUUCGGACCAAAGAUUUAUCGCCCAGGGAUGAGCCCGCGUAGGAUUAGCUAGUUGGUGGGGUAAUGGCCUACCAAGGCGACGAUCCUUAGCUGGUCUGAGAGGAUGAUCAGCCACACUGGGACUGAGACACGGCCCAGACUCCUACGGGAGGCAGCAGUGGGGAAUAUUGGACAAUGGGCGCAAGCCUGAUCCAGCAAUGCCUCGUGAGUGAUGAAGGCCUUAGGGUUGUAAAGCUCUUUUACCAGGGAUGAUAAUGACAGUACCUGGAGAAUAAGCUCCGGCUAACUCCGUG
rnacentral:rRNA from 1 species